rnacentral:rRNA from 1 species
GAUGAACGCUGGCGGCGUGCCUAAUACAUGCAAGUCGAACGCGAAGCCUGACUUCGGUGAGGCGGAGAGUGGCGGACGGGUGAGUAACACAUGGCUGACCUGCCCUUCAGAGGGGGACAACCACUGGAAACGGUGGCUAAUACCCCAUACGCUCGUGGUGGUUAGGGGACUACGAGGAAAGGUUGAGGCGCUGAAGGAGGGGGCUGUGGCCCAUCAGCUAGUUGGUAGGGUAACGGCCUACCAAGGCGAGGACGGGUAGGGGGCCUGAGAGGGUGGCCCCCCACAAUGGAACUGAAACACGGUCCAUACACCUACGGAGGCUG